rnacentral:rRNA from 1 species
GGGUUGUGAGGUUAAGCGACUAAGCGUACACGGUGGAUGCCCUGGCAGUCAGAGGCGAUGAAGGACGUGCUAAUCUGCGAUAAGCGUCGGUAAGGUGAUAUGAACCGUUAUAACCGGCGAUUUCCGAAUGGGGAAACCCAGUGUGUUUCGACACACUAUCAUUAACUGAAUCCAUAGGUUAAUGAGGCGAACCGGGGGAACUGAAACAUCUAAGUACCCCGAGGAAAAGAAAUCAACCGAGAUUCCCCCAGUAGCGGCGAGCGAACGGGGAGCAGCCCAGAGCCUGAAUCAGUGUGUGUGUUAGUGGAAGCGUCUGGAAAGGCGCGCGAUACAGGGUGACAGCCCCGUACACAAAAAUGCACAUGCUGUGAGCUCGAUGAGUAGGGCGGGACACGUGGUAUCCUGUCUGAAUAUGGGGGGACCAUCCUCCAAGGCUAAAUACUCCUGACUGACCGAUAGUGAACCAGUACCGUGAGGGAAAGGCGAAAAGAACCCCGGCGAGGGGAGUGAAAAAGAACCUGAAACCGUGUACGUACAAGCAGUGGGAGCACGCUUAGGCGUGUGACUGCGUACCUUUUGUAUAAUGGGUCAGCGACUUAUAUUCUGUAGCAAGGUUAACCGAAUAGGGGAGCCGAAGGGAAACCGAGUCUUAACUGGGCGUUAAGUUGCAGGGUAUAGACCCGAAACCCGGUGAUCUAGCCAUGGGCAGGUUGAAGGUUGGGUAACACUAACUGGAGGACCGAACCGACUAAUGUUGAAAAAUUAGCGGAUGACUUGUGGCUGGGGGUGAAAGGCCAAUCAAACCGGGAGAUAGCUGGUUCUCCCCGAAAGCUAUUUAGGUAGCGCCUCGUGAAUUCAUCUCCGGGGGUAGAGCACUGUUUCGGCAAGGGGGUCAUCCCGACUUACCAACCCGAUGCAAACUGCGAAUACCGGAGAAUGUUAUCACGGGAGACACACGGCGGGUGCUAACGUCCGUCGUGAAGAGGGAAACAACCCAGACCGCCAGCUAAGGUCCCAAAGUCAUGGUUAAGUGGGAAACGAUGUGGGAAGGCCCAGACAGCCAGGAUGUUGGCUUAGAAGCAGCCAUCAUUUAAAGAAAGCGUAAUAGCUCACUGGUCGAGUCGGCCUGCGCGGAAGAUGUAACGGGGCUAAACCAUGCACCGAAGCUGCGGCAGCGACGCUGAUGCGUUGUUGGGUAGGGGAGCGUUCUGUAAGCCUGCGAAGGUGUGCUGUGAGGCAUGCUGGAGGUAUCAGAAGUGCGAAUGCUGACAUAAGUAACGAUAAAGCGGGUGAAAAGCCCGCUCGCCGGAAGACCAAGGGUUCCUGUCCAACGUUAAUCGGGGCAGGGUGAGUCGACCCCUAAGGCGAGGCCGAAAGGCGUAGUCGAUGGGAAACAGGUUAAUAUUCCUGUACUUGGUGUUACUGCGAAGGGGGGACGGAGAAGGCUAUGUUGGCCGGGCGACGGUUGUCCCGGUUUAAGCGUGUAGGCUGGUUUUCCAGGCAAAUCCGGAAAAUCAAGGCUGAGGCGUGAUGACGAGGCACUACGGUGCUGAAGCAACAAAUGCCCUGCUUCCAGGAAAAGCCUCUAAGCAUCAGGUAACAUCAAAUCGUACCCCAAACCGACACAGGUGGUCAGGUAGAGAAUACCAAGGCGCUUGAGAGAACUCGGGUGAAGGAACUAGGCAAAAUGGUGCCGUAACUUCGGGAGAAGGCACGCUGAUAUGUAGGUGAGGUCCCUCGCGGAUGGAGCUGAAAUCAGUCGAAGAUACCAGCUGGCUGCAACUGUUUAUUAAAAACACAGCACUGUGCAAACACGAAAGUGGACGUAUACGGUGUGACGCCUGCCCGGUGCCGGAAGGUUAAUUGAUGGGGUUAGCGCAAGCGAAGCUCUUGAUCGAAGCCCCGGUAAACGGCGGCCGUAACUAUAACGGUCCUAAGGUAGCGAAAUUCCUUGUCGGGUAAGUUCCGACCUGCACGAAUGGCGUAAUGAUGGCCAGGCUGUCUCCACCCGAGACUCAGUGAAAUUGAACUCGCUGUGAAGAUGCAGUGUACCCGCGGCAAGACGGAAAGACCCCGUGAACCUUUACUAUAGCUUGACACUGAACAUUGAGCCUUGAUGUGUAGGAUAGGUGGGAGGCUUAGAAGUGUGGACGCCAGUCUGCAUGGAGCCGACCUUGAAAUACCACCCUUUAAUGUUUGAUGUUCUAACGUGGACCCGUAAUCCGGGUUGCGGACAGUGUCUGGUGGGUAGUUUGACUGGGGCGGUCUCCUCCUAAAGAGUAACGGAGGAGCACGAAGGUUGGCUAAUCCUGGUCGGACAUCAGGAGGUUAGUGCAAUGGCAUAAGCCAGCUUGACUGCGAGCGUGACGGCGCGAGCAGGUGCGAAAGCAGGUCAUAGUGAUCCGGUGGUUCUGAAUGGAAGGGCCAUCGCUCAACGGAUAAAAGGUACUCCGGGGAUAACAGGCUGAUACCGCCCAAGAGUUCAUAUCGACGGCGGUGUUUGGCACCUCGAUGUCGGCUCAUCACAUCCUGGGGCUGAAGUAGGUCCCAAGGGUAUGGCUGUUCGCCAUUUAAAGUGGUACGCGAGCUGGGUUUAGAACGUCGUGAGACAGUUCGGUCCCUAUCUGCCGUGGGCGCUGGAGAACUGAGGGGGGCUGCUCCUAGUACGAGAGGACCGGAGUGGACGCAUCACUGGUGUUCGGGUUGUCAUGCCAAUGGCACUGCCCGGUAGCUAAAUGCGGAAGAGAUAAGUGCUGAAAGCAUCUAAGCACGAAACUUGCCCCGAGAUGAGUUCUCCCUGACUCCUUGAGAGUCCUGAAGGAACGUUGAAGACGACGACGUUGAUAGGCCGGGUGUGUAAGCGCAGCGAUGCGUUGAGCUAACCGGUACUAAUGAACCGUGAGGCUUAACCUUACAACGCCGAAGGUGUUU